AAUUAAGCUGCUAACUUAAUUUUUAGUGGUUUAAUUCCAUUAAUAUUUCUU
rnacentral:tRNA from 1 species